rnacentral:lncRNA from 1 species
AUGCUUGUUGGGUUGGGCCCCAGGGUGGAGGAUAAGAUUGUUCUUAUUCACUGACCGUCCUUAGAGCAAGUGGCAAAAGGUUUGGUAGUUGGUACCUCCUAAGUUCAAAUCCUAGUUGAUUCACAUUUCCAGCUAAGUUUAUUUCUAAAUGAAAUAAACGAAGCGGAUAGCGUGCUACGUAUCUCUCAAAAAAAAAAAAAGAAAAAAAGAUUGCUCUUAUUCAAUAUGCAAAUGAUACUA